GAGUUUGAUCAUGGCUCAGGACAAACGCUGGCGGCGUGCAUAACACAUGCAAGUCGAACGAAAUCUACAUGAUUUAGUGGCGAACGGGUGAGUAACACGUGAGAAACCUGCCUUACACAGAGGGAUAGCCGUUGGAAACGACGAUUAAUACCUCAUGACACCGUGACAUCGCAUGAUGAUGCGGUCAAAGAUUUAUCGGUGUAAGAUGGUCUCGCGCCUGAUUAGCUGGUUGGUGGGGUAACGGCCUACCAAGGCGACGAUCAGUAGCCGAUCUGAGAGGGUGGACGGCCACAUUGGGACUGAGACACGGCCCAAACUCCUACGGGAGGCAGCAGUAGGGAAUUUUGCACAAUGGGGGAAACCCUGAUGCAGCGACGCCGCGUGAACGAAGAAGGCCUUCGGGUUGUAAAGUUCUGUCCUUGGUGAAGAUAAUGACA
rnacentral:rRNA from 1 species